rnacentral:lncRNA from 1 species
GUGAUCUAUACCUUCUGGGUUCAAGUGAUUCUCUUGCCUCAGCCUCCUGAGUAGCUGGGAAUACAGGCAUGUGCCACCACGCCCGGCCAAUUUUUAAAAAUAUUUUUAGUAGAAACGGGGUUUCACUGUGUUGGCCAGGCUGGUCUCGAACUCUUGACCUCAGGUGAUCCACCCGCCUCAACCUCCCAAAGUGCUGGAUUACAGGUGUGAGCCACCGUGUGGCCGUCAAUAAAUAUUCUUAUGCCACAUGAUUUUCAUGGGUACAUAGAAUUCUCUCAAACAGAAAAUGGCAUACAUUUCUUAACCAGUGCCUUAGUGUUCUACACGUAGUAACCAGUGCUUCUUGCAGAGGCUACCUGCGAUUAUAGAAAAUUUUAUGAGUACGCCUCCACAGUGAGUCUUACCAUAUAUGGCUUUGUAGGAUCCCUGCAUGUUAUUGGAAGACAUCUGAGAUCAAGAGUUAUUCUAUGUAUUAAAAUAAUUAAGAUUUUCUUCUCUGUAGAUUUUCCCAAUUCCCCUUUUUGACAUUCGUCAUAGUAACUAAUAUUUAUAUCACAUUUUAAUGUAACCUCUGUCAGUUCUUGGAAUAACAUUUGUGCAGCAAUUAAUUUUCCUAAAAGACACAAUGCAGACUGCAAAACAAUUUUAUUACAAUGUCACUGAUGUGAGUCAUUCAUUUGGGAGAUACUUAUUGAGUGCCUGAAAUAAAACCAUCUAGGCUGGCAAUAUUCUACACUGAGUUUCCAUAAUGUGCCCCGCCAGAAAACACUAAAUCUUAAAAGGUUUGAGAAGAUAGAAAUAAAAGGGGAGAGCUUUCAUAACGGCUAGGGAAGAGUAAGCUGAGCUCACAAGAUGUGUAAGAGUGGGAGGUAAAGUCUGAAAGAUAGAUCAUUGCUGGGUGGAAGAGGCCCUUGAAUGCCUCAGUCUAUCUUUUAGUCUAUCGUAGCCUGGGCUCCACCCUGAAUCGUGAGAGGAGGGUUUGGAGCAGUAGAGUGACAUGGUGGCCUGACACACUGAUGUGGCAAAAGUCAGUUCAUAGUCUUCAUGUCUCUUAAAAC